GUGGGGAAUCUUCCGCAAUGGACGAAAGUCUGACGGAGCGACGCCGCGUGAGUGAAGAAGGCCUUCGGGUCGUAAAGCUCUGUCAUCAGGGACGAACGGCCGGUGGAGUGGAAAGCCACCGGAUUGACGGUACCUGAGAAGGAAGCCACGGCUAACUACGUGCCAGCAGCCGCGGUAAUACGUAGGUGGCAAGCGUUGUCCGGAAUUAUUGGGCGUAAAGCGCGCGCAGGUGGGAUCUUAAGUCCAUUUUUAAAGUUCGGAGCUCAACUCCGUGAUGGGAUGGAAACUGGGAUUCUUGAGGAUCGGAGAGGAAAGCGGAAUUCCCCGUGUAGCGGUGAAAUGCGUAGAUAUGGGGAGGAACACCAGUGGCGAAGGCGGCUUUCUGGACGAUGUCUGACACUGAGGCGCGAAAGCCAGGGGAGCGAACGGGAUUAGAAACCCCAGUAGUCC
rnacentral:rRNA from 1 species